AACGAACGCUGGCGGCAUGCCUAACACAUGCAAGUCGAACGAGACCUUCGGGUCUAGUGGCGCACGGGUGCGUAACGCGUGGGAACCUGCCCUUAGGUUCGGAAUAACUCCCCGAAAGGGGUGCUAAUACCGGAUAAUGUCUUCGGACCAAAGAUUUAUCGCCUUUGGAUGGGCCCGCGUUGGAUUAGCUAGUUGGUAGGGUAAAAGCCUACCAAGGCGCCGAUCCAUAGCUGGUCUGAGAGGAUGAUCAGCCACACUGGGACUGAGACACGGCCCAGACUCAUACGGGAGGGAGCAGGGGGGAAUAUUGGACAAUGGGCGAAAGCCUGAUCCAGCAAUGCCGCGUGAGUGAUGAAGGCCUUAGGGUUGUAAAGCUCUUUUACCCGGGAUGAUAAUGACAGUACCGGGAGAAUAAGCUCCGGCUAACUCCGU
rnacentral:rRNA from 1 species